rnacentral:rRNA from 1 species
CCUACGGGUGGCAGCAGUGAGGAAUAUUGGUCAAUGGGCGCGAGCCUGAACCAGCCAAGUAGCGUGAAGGAUGACGGCCCUACGGUUUGUAAACUUCUUUUAUAAAGGAAUAAAGUGAGGCACGUGUGCCUUUUUGUAUGUACCAUAUGAAUAAGCAUCGGCUAACUCCGUGCCAGCAGCCGCGGUAAUACGGAGGAUGCGAGCGUUAUCCGGAUUUAUUGGGUUUAAAGGGAGCGUAGAUGGGUUGUUAAGUCAGUUGUGAAAGUUUGUGGCUCAACCGUAAAAUUGCCAUUGAUACUGGUUGUCUUGAGUACAGUUGAGGUAGGCGGAAUGCGUGGUGUAGCGGUGAAAUGCUUAGAUAUCACGAAGAACUCCGAUUGCGAAGGCAGCUUACUAAACUGUCACUGACAUUGAUGCUCGAAAGUGUGGGUAUCAAACAGGAUUAGAUACCCUUGUAGUC